rnacentral:rRNA from 1 species
GAUGAACGCUGGCGGCAUGCCUAAUACAUGCAAGUCGAACGAACGGACCCUUUGACUGAGGAGUGCUUGCACAAAUCAAGAUUAGGAUUUUCAGUUAGUGGCGAACGGGUGAGUAACACGUGGGUAACCUACCUAGAAGUGAGGGAUAACUAUUGGAAACGAUGGAUAAUACCUCAUAGGAAUAUGAUAUAUAAAGUAUCAUAUUUUAAAGAUGCGUUUGCAUCGCUACUAGAUGGGCCUGCGGUGCGUUAGCUAGUUGGUAAGGUAAGAGCUUACCAAGGCGACGAUGUAUAGCCGGACUGAGAGGUUGAACGGCCACACUGGGACUGANACACGGCCCAGACACCUACGGGUGGCAGCAGUAGGGAAUUUUUCGCAAUGGGGGCAACCCUGACGGAGCAAUGCCGCGUGAAUGAUGAAGGUUUUCGGAUCGUAAAAUUCUGUUGUAAGGGAAGAAAAGCUAUAUUAGGAAAUGAAUAUAGUCUGACGGUACCUGACGAGAAAGGGACGGCUA